UUGGGCCUGUAUGGAUGGUUUGACGAGAAUCAAGCUGUCUCUUUUUAAAUAUCAAAAAAUUAUUAUUUAGGUGAAGAAACCUAAAUUGAAUUGAGGGACAAGAAGACCCCGUUGAGCUUUAGUGAUUUAGUGAAGACCAUCUUCCAAAUAAUACAAAUUAAAGUAUAUUUGGUUAUUACGUUCUCGCAAAUAUCGUUCACUAAAAAUCUUUAGUUGGGGCGACUAAGGAACAUAAAAAGCUUCCUUUAAUUAUCAAGUUAUGUCACGUCAAAUCUACAAUAAAUAUAGAUCCAGUAUCUACUGAUCAGAGGAAAAAGUUACCACGAGGAAAA
rnacentral:rRNA from 1 species